rnacentral:misc_RNA from 1 species
UCGGAUCACAACCCCUUUACUUGUGUUUUUUUUGAUUUUCUUCUAUUGGUGCGUGAAUUUGUGCUUCCUUUGUAUUCACAAACUGCGUGCCAGCAACUCGUCUCCCCUCACGCAUUCCCACACAUCGGCUUACAUAGUUGCAUCCUACCUCUCACCUCCGCGGCUGCUGCUUUAUUAUUAUUAUUUUUUUCACGCCUUUUCGCUUGUUGUUCUUUUCCUCUUGGUAUACCAUUCGCUCCAGACACGCUCCUCUACCUGCGCACGUGCCAUCUCGCCCGGUCUCUCGCUCUCGCUCCCCUUGCUCGAUUUUUUUUUUUGCAAAGAAGAAGAAAGGGAGCCCUGCGCAGUGUACGAGGAAGUCGAGAAAGGAACGCAACAAAAGAAGCAAAAGAACGGCACAGACACGCGUGCCAACGCGCACGGACGCCAGAGUCGGCAAGAAAAUCAGCGAUCGUGCUGUCACGGUACCACUAAAGGCGACAUUCGAGAGAUACGGCUCUGUUCUCUGUUCCUUUCUCACCCGUGAAGACGACGACCUGAACGCGUAACCGACAGAGCCAAGCGCGCACGUGGUGCCACUGUCUGUGCUGCAUCUCUUUGCGGCGACUAGGACAGUGGUAGCGUGUGUGUGUCUGUAUCGAGGCAUUGUCGCGCCCCUUCCCCUCCCUCACACACAAAAGGAACGAAAAAUACGCAUCUCAGGAAGAGGGUGUUGAUGAAAGCUACGCUUACUCUUUUAUUUUGCCUUUGACGCACAUCCGCGGCUCACUUGCUGCACCGACUCCCUCUUACACGCCCUGUUUCGCGCGCUUGGUGCUACGAGGCGUGCUGGAAGAUCUCUGUGUUUUCUCCCGCUGUUGUCCUUCCCGCUUGCUCUUCUGCCCUACGUGCGCGCUUGCUCGUUUUGUGAAUUCGUCUUUUCCGUGCGCGUGUCUGGGAGCACCUGGUGUAGACGUAUGCUCCGGAACGGUGAACAGGGCUCUUUUUGUCUCCGCCGACGUUUUCGUUGCUGCCGUGAAUCGUAGGUGCAUGCCACAGGAUGCACGUCUCCAGCCUUUCUCGCUCGUUGGAAUCGAAGCCACGGUGAGGCCCGAGCAGAGGCGGUGGAGCGCGGGGAAGCGCUCGGGCACACAUGGCAGACCGCUUGAGCGAUUUUUUCUCUUCCUCUUUUUGGCUGCACUCGCGCUGUGCUCAGUGUGCUGCUCCCAAGCAUCGUCUGCUCCUUUUCACCCUCCACGGCACAUCGUAGCGGACGAGGCACUCUCCAACGCACCAUCCGCGCGGAGUGUGGCACUUCGCUACACCUUCCCCGGCAGCAGCUUGGCGCUUCUAGUGACGGAGGGCGGUCAUCUGCACGCUUAUGAUCUGGAACGUGGCCAGCAUGCGUGGUGCGCCGACGCUGGCGGUGACAUGGUCACCGUGACGAUAGACCUGCCGCCGUCUAAGGAGGCGGCGCUGCGUGAUCCCCUAGCGCUUCCGUUUCUUGUGCGUGGCAACAGUCUCUUUACACGCGUUCCGUUCUUCACGUACACGCCACUAGAGUCCAUGGAUGCAACCGAGCGGCUCGAAGGGCUACCGCAGUCCCUCCGGCCCUACUUCUUUAUGAACAUCUCAACACUGCUGAGGCGACAAACACUCUUUUUGGGUGGCACAGAUGUGUACGUGACGACCUCAGUUCAAGUGGCGGAUCUCGACGCGAGCACAGGGCGGCCUGUUGGGGGCCUAGAAACUCCAUCGCAGGCUUUUUGCGGCAGCAACGCCACCAGAAGCCCACCACGCGGCGACUCAACGACAGAGUCGCACCGCGUGCCGCACAAUGAGCUCCUCCCUCUACUGCACAUUGUCCGCUACAACAUUGUUUUGCACGUGGUGAGGCCAGGCGAGUACAGCUGGUCAAUCUGCCUCUCGCAGCUGCGCAUGUCGCCUCGGGCAGUCGUUCAGCCACGCUUCCCGUCACCCUUUUCCGCACAUAGCGCAGCCGACACCUCGUCAGCGGCUCCUGAGGACGACAGCGAGCACACGCCGCGCUUCUUCUCGCAGUUUAUGCGCAACAUGUUCGACUACGAUGACGAGCAUGUCGUGAAUGUGGCCUACAGGCGUGCUGCAGAUCAACAGGCCAACCCGACGCCUGCCGCGCGGACGUCGACGGCGGUGCUGAUGCGCAACUUGCAGCGCACCCAUACUCAGGCUGCCGAUUACAUCAGCCGCGUGGUUAGUGUACACCAGGUCAAUGAAAGCCAUGUCAGUCUCCGAAGCGUCCACGAUGGCACUACGGCCUGGACAUCGGCUUUGCCGCAUGUGGCGCGCGAGCCUUCUGGAGAUGGGACAGGCUCGACGACGUCAUCCUCGAAUGCAACUUCCACUGUGAUCGCUGCAUAUGUGUGGGUGAGUGGCGCUGAUGAAAUCUUCCGCGUUCCAGUUCUACGUUUGGCCUUCGGCAGCGUGGUGGAAGAGGCGGAACAGCUUCGCAUAUCCAUGGAGACGGAUGCGAGGGGCGCCGUACCUACAGGUCUGCCGCGGCUCACAUCUGCUUCGCUCGCUGGGGCUCUGGUGCCCGCAACGCACGCCGCGGGCCGUCUGCAGCUCUGGACACUUAUGCAAAGCGGUGACUCAGGGCGUGGCCGCUGCCGCGACGGCGGCGCUUGUGGCGAGUGGGCUACAGAUGACGUUGAGGCCGAUGAGCGUGAGGAGACGGAACUCGCAGCGUACUACCAUCAGUGCACCUGGUGGGAGACGCCGCCUGUGUCUUGGCCGCUGCUGGCGGGAGCAUUCAACGGAGAAAGUGGUGCUGUGACUUUCCAGGCUAUCGACUCUGCGACGUCGUCGAGAACGGUGGCCGGCACACGCGGCGUCUACUCUACCGAGAACCCACCCUUAGGCUUCGACAGCUCGGGAGCGGUGGUGAAAACCGGCUUGGCUUGGCGCACCGCCGCCUUCAUCUCCUUUCACGUACUCUGCCUCGCCGGCUCGAUCGCGUUUUUGUGCGCCGGCGUGCCGCCCCGGGGCCAGCUGCAGCGCGCCUGGGCCCAGGCGGACCGCAACCGUGACAGAGUCUCCCACACGUCCUCCUCUCAUCAGCCAUCGACACAGCUGGUCCCGCAAGAUCUCCUCUCCCCGCACGGCGGGCGAGGCACGCCGUUCAGCCUCAUAAUGGAUUCCUUCUCGAUGGACACCCUUGGUUUGGGCACUUUACCGACAGCCUCUGUCUCCAUGGCGACUGUGUCGCUUCCCCACUCAGACGACUCACUGCAGGAGCUGAUGCGACACCACCAGCUGGGGCACCUCAGCAGGUCCCCGCCACGCUCGCCAUGGGUGUACCCGGCGCCAGAGCAGGUGCGCUCCCUCACAUACGAGGAGAGUGAGAAGAUGCUCCCUGUAACCGCCACUCCAGCGACCACCACAACAACCAAAGGCACCGCAACCUCAUCAAAGGCGGGGUUUGGCAUGACGCCGUCCACGGCGCGACAAAAGGCAAAGACGUCUGAGACGCCAGUGAAGAGAGCAGCUGCAUUGCCCUCGAGUCCGGCCGAUUCCGCGGCAGCCGAUAAGGCCGCCGCGUCCGCGUCAAACAGUUCGAGCGACGACGACACGGUUGACAUCGACCUCGGCGAGCGCUGGUGGCUGCGAGCGCAGUUUUUGCCGCGGCAGCAUGCAAGUGCACCGGCGCUGGACGAGACAUUCUCGGACCGCGGCAGCAGCUAUAGCCGCUCGCAAGCUAAUACGGGAACGGAGGAGGAAGGCAAGCUGUUCCAGCUGCACUUCAAGGUCCUAGAGAAGAUCGGGUUUGGGGGUGAGGGGUCUGUGUUCUGCGUCGAGCACCGCGUGACGCAUGCGCGGUACGCCAUCAAGGUGAUUCACAUCCACGAGAAGGACGAGGAGCGAGUGGUGCAGGAGGCCGUUCUGCACAGCUCCUUCGACAACGCCAACGUGGUGCGCUUCUACUUUUGCUGGAUCGAAGAUAUCGCCGUAUCGACCGCAAACCGCCUGGAGUUGUGCCACCGCGACGAGGACGGGCUCGAUGCGACAUCGCUGGCCUACAGCGACAACUCACUCAUGGUGUCAACAUCCGGCAACACAAACGGACACAGCACCGACCACGACACAGCCUCCAAGGCUGGCGACACCUACCACAUGCUCUUCAUCCAGAUGGAGUACUUCCCCCGCGGUACGCUAGCGGAUUGGCUGCGUCUCCGCAGCGGCUUCUUCCGGCUCGAGGUGCUACGCUACAUGAAGCAAAUCGGCGAGGGCUUGGCUUACUUGCACAACCAGGACGUGGUGCACCAUGACUUGAAGCCAACGAACAUCUUCGUCUCCAACGACAACGUUCUCAAGAUCGGCGACUUUGGGCUCGCGAAACGACGCGGCAACGCUAACGGGAGCGCCGGUGACUUGGCGUCGAACGUCGCGGGUGGCCAGGAGGAGAGGUCGGUGGUCGGCGGAAGCCCGCUGUACUCGAGCCCAGAGCAGACGCGUGGCGAACCGGUAAACAAGCCGUCCGACAUCUUCUCUCUUGGCAUCAUCGCAGUGGAGAUGCUGUGCACCUUUACCACGCUGCACGAGCGCAUUCGCAUCUUGACCGAUGCCCACCAACUCAUCUUACCUGAAGAGCUCGAGGCCGAGUUCCCUGACGAAGCGCAGUUGAUCAAGUCUAUGCUGGCGGCAAACCCGCUACAGCGACCGCCAAUACGAAAGCUCCUUCGGCAGAUCAGCAAGCUCAUUGUCGCGCUGGAGGCACAGGAGAGCGAUGAGGAGGCCGAGAAGCCGCCGCCACCGUCCCCUCUCGACGGCGCCGAGCACUCGGAGUCGCGCAACGGCAACGACGAGGCGGACACCGUCGCACUCGUCGACGACAGCGCGUCGGCGCUCGCCGCAGACACGGCAACCGGCAAGUUCGGCAACACACCAUUGAGCACAAGCGUCACCGCUGCGUCGUCGUCGUGUGGGCGAUCGGUCGCCGCGGAUCUCGCAAGCGGCAGCCAUGUAGACUCCUUUCCGUCGCCGCUAGGUGAGCAGAAGUCGCGUGUGGCUUUGCUGCCUGUUCUCAACAGCGAAGCCGCCACCGGUAUCAGCGCUGCAGCAGCCUCGCACAUGCCAGCCACCACGUCAGCGCAUGACAGCAACGCCGCCUCUACGGGGAAGCAUGUAACUCGCCUAGGCGACUCGCUUGCCUCUCUCCACGCCUCAACGAUGGUGAAGCGUGGUAACACAUACCACCACCGUCGUCGCGGGUCGGCCAGCCCGAACAUGGAGGCGGAAAUCGGUCGCCUGCAUAUCUGUGAGAUGGUCGCCACCGGAUCUGCGUCCCGGAAAGAGUUCUUUGCAAACGACCCCUACGGACUGCCCAACACCCCGGUAAUGUACACGGAGGACGCUGAUCUGUCCACUAUCCUGAAGCACGACCUGCAGGAUCGUACUGUCUCUGCGCCAGACUGAGCGGGAAGCAGUGCGAAAGGGUUCAGUGGGUGUUUCUUUUCGUCUGCGGAAAAAGCGCCUCUAUUUCGGAUGCCCGCUAUCGUGCGUCUUCUUGUUGUCGUUGCUCUUCACGUGACGCAUCUAUACUUGAUUAGAGGGGUUUGCGUGUGGGAUGAAGGUAUCUGCUCUCUGUUCCUUUGGUUCGUCCCGUGCUGCCCAACAGCCGCUAGCGCCAACGGCUUUGCCUCGUUUCCUUUUUUCUUGCUGUUCUUCAAACCUUCUCAGAAGAGAAGUUGAUGCCCUCCUUUUUUUUUUUCGCUUCUGCUCGCGGCAUUGUUUGAAAGAAGGAGCACGUGAGAGAGUGUGCGGAUUUAUUUCUCGUCCGGCGGCCGGAUAGCAGGGGAAGCGAACAACA